rnacentral:rRNA from 1 species
CAGCAGCCACGGGAAUACAGAGGGUGCGAGCGUUAAUCGGAAUUACUGGGCGUAAAGCGUGCGUAGGCGGCUUCUUAAGUCGGAUGUGAAAUCCCUGAGCUUAACUUAGGAAUUGCAUUCGAUACUGGGAAGCUAGAGUAUGGGAGAGGAUGGUAGAAUUCCAGGUGUAGCGGUGAAAUGCGUAGAGAUCUGGAGGAAUACCGAUGGCGAAGGCAGCCAUCUGGCCUAAUACUGACGCUGAGGUACGAAAGCAUGGGGAGCAAACAGGAUUAGAUACCCCCGUAGUCCCUGUCUCUUAUAC